GACGUAGGGCGCGAGCGUUGUCCGGAUUUAUUGGGCGUAAAGAGCUCGUAGGCGGCUUGUCGCGUCGUCCGUGAAAACCCACAGCUCAACUGUGGGCUUGCGGUCGAUACGGGCAGGCUAGAGUUCGGUAGGGGAGACUGGAAUUCCUGGUGUAGCGGUGAAAUGCGCAGAUAUCGGAAGGAACAUCAGUGGCGAAGGCGACACUCUGGUCUGACACUGACGCUGAGGUGCGAAAGCGUGGGUAGCAAACAGG
rnacentral:rRNA from 1 species